GAUGAACGCUGGCGGCGUGCCUAAUACAUGCAAGUCGAGCGAACGGACGAGAAGCUUGCUUCUCUGAUGUUAGCGGCGGACGGGUGAGUAACACGUGGAUAACCUACCUAUAAGACUGGGAUAACUUCGGGAAACCGGAGCUAAUACCGGAUAAUAUUUUGAACCGCAUGGUUCAAAAGUGAAAGACGGUCUUGCUGUCACUUAUAGAUGGAUCCGCGCUGCAUUAGCUCGUUGGUAAGGUAACGGCUUACCAAGGCAACGAUGCAUAGCCGACCUGAGAGGGUGAUCGGCCACACUGGAACUGAGACACGGUCCAGACUCCUACGGGAGGCAGCAGUAGGGAAUCUUCCGCAAUGGGCGAAAGCCUGACGGAGCAACGCCGCGUGAGUGAUGAAGGUCUUCGGAUCGUAAAACUCUGUUAUUAGGGAAGAACAUAUGUGUAAGUAACUGUGCACAUCUUGACGGUACCUAAUCAGAAAGCCACGGCUAACUACGU
rnacentral:rRNA from 1 species